rnacentral:rRNA from 1 species
UACGAAGGGGGCUAGCGUUGUUCGGAUUUAUUGGGCGUAAAGCGCGUGUAGGCGGCUUUGCAAGUCGGGUGUGAAAGCCCUCAGCUCAACUGAGGAAGUGCGCCCGAAACUGCAGAGCUUGAGUGCCGGAGAGGGUGGCGGAAUUCCCCAAGUAGAGGUGAAAUUCGUAGAUAUGGGGAGGAACACCGGUGGCGAAGGCGGCCACCUGGACGGUAACUGACGCUGAGACGCGAAAGCGUGGGGAGCAAACAGG